rnacentral:misc_RNA from 1 species
CUGUUGACUUAUAAUAUCAUUAAAUUACUAAAUAAACACUGCAACUACAUCAUUUACAUCAAUUUGCAAAUUGUAAGUCGCUGUCAACUAUAUACUCUUUCUGAUCCCUCUCAGCAAAAACAUGCCAUUUUCAACCAAAGGCCCAUAACUGUAUUGCUUGUUGAAUUAUGCCAAGUACCUAAACAUGUUUGGGUUCUCCUUAUCUCUCUCCAAGUAGUCUCGAGUGAUCAGAUCUUCCAUUCGCUUCUUAAUUGCCUUAAUGUCAGGCUUGAACAUACGACUCAACUGCUCGACACACUCUGAGACUAAUUGUUGAUGGCCCAAAACUUUCC